rnacentral:rRNA from 1 species
GUCGAGAAUAUUUCGCAAUGGGCGAAAGCCUGACGAAGCGACGCCGCGUGAACGAUGAAGGCCUUCGGGUUGUAAAGUUCUGUCGCCUUAGAACAAGAAGCGCUGGAUAACACCCAGCGACGAUGAGGGUAUAAGGAGAGGAAGCACCGGCUAAUUCCGUGCCAGCAGCUGCGGUAAUACGGAAGGUGCAAGCGUUAGUCGGAAUUAUUGGGCGUAAAGGGUGCGUAGGCGGAAAAGCAAGUAGGACGUGAAAUUCUGGGGCUCAACCUCAGAGCUGCAUCCGAAACUGCUUUUCUAGAGGAUUGGCGGAGAAAACGGAAUUCCAUGUGUAGCGGUGAAAUGCGUAGAUAUAUGGAAGAACACCUGUGGCGAAAGCGGUUUUCUAGCCUCCUCCUGACGCUGAGGCACGAGAGCAAGGGGAGCAAACAGGAUUAGAAACCCCGGUAGUCC